CCCGAAUCCUGACACAGGGAGGUAGUGACAAGAAAUAACAAUACAGGGCUACUUCUAGUCUUGUAAUUGGAAUGAGUACAACUUACAUCUCUUCACGAGGAUCAAUUGGAGGGCAAGUCUGGUGCCAGCAGCCGCGGUAAUUCCAGCUCCAAUAGCGUAUAUUAAAGUUGUUGCAGUUAAAAAGCUCGUAGUCGGAUUUCGGGGCGGGCCGAGCGGUCUGCCGAUGGGUAUGCACUGUUCGGCGCGUCCUUCUUUCCGGAGACUAGUUCUACUCUUAACUGAGCGGGACUGGGAGACGGAUCGUUUACUUUGAAAAAAUCAGAGUGUUUCAAGCAGGCAGCUCGCUCUUGCAUGGAUUAGCAUGGGAUAAUGAAAUAGGACUCUGGUGCUAUUUUGUUGGUUUCGAACACCGGAGUAAUGAUUAACAGGGACAGUCAGG
rnacentral:rRNA from 1 species